GACGAACGCUGGCGGCGUGCUUAACACAUGCAAGUCGAACGGAAAGGCCCUGCUUUUGUGGGGUGCUCGAGUGGCGAACGGGUGAGUAACACGUGAGUAACCUGCCCUUGACUUUGGGAUAACUUCAGGAAACUGGGGCUAAUACCGGAUAGGAGCUCCUGCUGCAUGGUGGGGGUUGGAAAGUUUCGGCGGUUGGGGAUGGACUCGCGGCUUAUCAGCUUGUUGGUGGGGUAGUGGCUUACCAAGGCUUUGACGGGUAGCCGGCCUGAGAGGGUGACCGGCGACAUUGGGACUGAGAUACGGCCCAGACUCCUACGGGAGGCAACAGUGGGGAAUAUUGCACAAUGGGCGGAAGCCUGAUGCAGCAACGCCACGUGCGGGAUGACGGCCUUCGGGUUGUAAACCGCUUUCGCCUGUGACGAAGCGUGAGUGACGGUAAUGGGUAAAGAAGCACCGGCUAACUACGUG
rnacentral:rRNA from 1 species